rnacentral:rRNA from 1 species
UACGAAGGGGGCUAGCGUUGCUCGGAAUCACUGGGCGUAAAGCGCACGUAGGCGGUUCGUUAAGUCUGCUGUGAAAGCCCUGGGCUCAACCUGGGAACUGCAGUGGAUACUGGCGGACUAGAGUGUGAUAGAGGAUGGUGGAAUUCCCGGUGUAGCGGUGAAAUGCGUAGAGAUCGGGAGGAACACCAGUGGCGAAGGCGGCCAUCUGGAUCAACACUGACGCUGAGACACGAAAGCGUGGGUAGCAAACAGG